UGCAAGGCGGUUUGUGUUGCGCGGCCCGGGCUGGAUGGGUGGAGCCGGGGCAGCCAUUUCGAGCACGGCCUUUAAUAUCGCCCCACUCGUUCUGCUCUUUCCCGGCAUUUUCCGACAGAGCUGUGCUUAUCGAGGUUUGACUCUGUGUCCAAGCUCUGCAUUCCAGGCAGCCAGUCGUACACGUCUGCACCGUGCCCAGCCCAUUUUGGGGUUACAGCUGUUGGAGUUAGUGGGGAAAAAUGUGUUGUCAUAUGGAAUAGCCUCAUUUAUUUUGACAAAAACCAGUCUUCAUGGUAUGAAGGUCCUGCUAAACUUAUCCGCUGUGAUGAAUCGACACAGGACUCUUUCCAGCAUGUCAUGCUCGUGUGGAAGCCUUUGCACCCUGGCAGAACCUGCCAACUGAUGCUGGCAGCCCCACACUUCCAGGAGGGUGAGCAGAGGAGCUGUGUGAGGCAGGAGCAGCAGGCUGGUGCCUCUGGAAGGAGCUGGCUGUGCUGCCCAUCCCAGAGCAGGAG